rnacentral:lncRNA from 1 species
AUAGGUGGUCUGCUGUCAACGAAAGUUAAAGUGGUGUCUGAAUGGCAGAAGUUAUACAAUAGCUUAAGUUCAGAGUUGAAAAGCAAUCCUCAUCUUACAGGCCUCACAAGAAUCCUAUCCCUCAGCUAUGAGCAUCUACCAUAUUACCUCAAAUCGUGUGUCUUAUACUUUGGCAUCUUUCCAGAGGACUACUCAAUUAAUUGCGUAAGAUUGAUACGGUUGUGGAUUGCUGAAGGGUUUGUAAAAUUGAAGAAGGGCAAGACACUGGAAGAGGUUGGAGAGGAAUAUUUGACUGAGGUAAUUCACAGAAGCCUGGUUCAAGUGUCAGAAGUUUACAUUGAUGGAAAAGCUCGAAGUUGUAGAGUUCAUGAUAUUUUGCGCGAAGUGCUCCUUAAAAAGGGUGUGGAUUCAAGCUUCUGUCAUAUUUUAUCAGAAUUUGAGUUGACUUAUAAACCAACAAUUCGACGUCUCUCAAUCGACAACAGCCCCUCUGAUGCCUCGGGAAUCAUUACACAGUCUCAAAUUCGUUCUGUAUUUGCUUUCAACCAAGAAGAAUGGCCCGAGUCUUAUCUCAAUACAUUGAGGGGAAACUUUAAACUUCUGAAAGUAUUGGAUUUCAUGGAUGCUCCAAUCAAUCAACUUCCAAAAUAUGUGGGGGAUUUGUAUCUCUUGACGUACUUAAGCCUGAGGAAUACAAAGGUGGAGUUGCUUCCAGACUCCAUAGGCAAUCUGCAAAACUUAGAAACCCUGGAUCUAAAACAAUCUUUGGUGUCUGAAAUACCAGCCAAGAUCAAUAAGCUUGUUAAGCUGCGGCAUCUUUUGGCCUACUAUCGUGACUACAGCUUGGCGUUUUGGUCGAAUAUGGAAAGAGGAGUGAAGAUACAUGAAGGUAUUGGAUGCUUACAAGCUUUGCAAAAACUGUACUUUGUGGAGGCGAAUCAUGGAGGGAUCAAACUAAUCAAAGAACUGGGACAGUUAAGGCAGUUGCGGAAGUUAGGCCUAACAAAGUUAAAACGUGAAGAUGGAAAGGCUCUUUGUGCUUGUAUUGAAAAGAUAAAUCACCUUGAAACUCUAGAAUUAACUGCAAUAAGUGAAGAUGAAGUCCUUGAUUUAGAAUCCAUUUCAACUCCACCACAAUUUAUUCGGAAACUGAUCUUGUACGGGCGUUUAGAGCAGUUGCCAAGCUGGAUUUCAAAUCUUCAACAUCUCGUCGCAUUGGUGAUUUAUUGGUCAAGGUUGAGAGAUUUCCCAUUGAAAGCCCUUCAAAAUCUACCUAAUCUGUUGGAUCUUGGUUUGGGACAAAUGGGACAUGAAGGCAUGCGGCUGCAUUUUGAGGAAGGAGGAUUUCAGAAACUUAGGAAGCUCCGACUCAGGGAAGUGGAGGGACUAAAUUCAUUGAUCAUAGACAAUGGGGUUAUGCCUAUUCUCCAAGAGUUUCACAUUGGACCUAGCCCACAACUGAAGGAUGUGCCAUCCGGCAUCUGCCGCCUUCGAAAUCUGAGAGAUCUUAGGUUUUAUGACAUGACGAAGGAGUUUGCACGACAAAUGGAUCCAAAUAAUGGCCCACAUUAUUGGAUUGUUAAACAUAUACGACAUGUUGAUUUUAUUUACAACUAUGUCCCGAGAUAUGGCGAAUAUGAAACCCACUCCCUGUAUGAUUCCGACUUUUCAUUUUGGUCGAAUGUUUAAAGACUACAGGUUUAUGGGCUUUUAAGAUUCAAUUGUUAGCUCUGCUCUCCUAGUUUCUCGUGUAGAUUGACUGGGAGGGCUCUUUCUACUUUAUUUUUAUUUUUUGUUUUUUGUUUUGGGGUCAUGGUGUGAUGUGGUCUUCUUAGCAUUUUACUUGUAAUUUUAUUGGUGGUUGCAAUAUUUUUUUUAAUUAAAAAUUCAAAUAAAAAGAUAUCAUCACCUCAAACUCAGAAUGCUCAAAUAACAUGAUAAAAUUUCAUUAAUUUUUUUAUAAAUGAAUUAAGUUUUUAUAGGAUAUAACUGACAACUAUUUACCUUGUAUCUAUGCUUUAAAAAUGAAUAAAACCCCUUCAUAUUUUUGUGAGUUUUGUCCCUUGAUCAUCAAUUCAAUGAGAAAAAUUUAUAAGAUUGAAGAAUAUGAUUUAGUAAAUUAAAUCAUAUAUGUGAGUUUUUUUUCCAUCUCUACUCAAACAAAAGUAUAGGGGUGUCCUAUAUUUUGGUUCAACUUAACCUAAAGAUCUAUUUUUUCUUCUAUUUUUUAUUUUACCCAUUCUUUACUAUCUUAUAUUCUUGAUAUUAAUUUGUAGGAUUGUGGAUUUUAGAAAUUUUGUUAACCAAAGUGUAGAUUGUGAAUUUUAGAAAUUUUAAGUGUUGAGCCUUCUCCUUUUGUAUAUACAGAUUAAUUCAGUCACAUAUAUUCAAUAUAGUUAAUGUUUGUACCAUGAUAUGACACAUUUGAAAUACAUAAUAUGCAUUUGUACAUGUAUCCUCGCAUGCAAAUGUAGAAAAACAAUUCUUUAUGGUUGUAAAAUUUUAUAUACUUAUUUACAAAUGGAAUUAAAUUAAAAAAAUUAUCAAAAUUUAUAAAAUGUUGUAGGCAUAAUUUAUUGAACAAUCAUGGAGGCCAAUAAAUAGUAGAGAGAAGAGAGAGAUGUGUAAUUGUGAGGUGUGUUCUAUUCCACCCUAUUAUGCCUUUAUUUAUAGUAGUAUGAUAGGAAAAAUCCUUCUCUUUUCGGAUUACAACUCUUAAUAGGUAAUCAACUCAUAAUAGGAAUAUAAGAGAUAUUAUUAGAUUCACUAGGAUUUACACAAUCACAUUCCUAAUCUAAUAAGACUGCAACACUCCCCCUUGAGUGUGUAAAUACUCAAGUAAAUGGCGCAUCAGGUAUUCAGUGAUGAAGUAAGUACAGUUGAUGAAGUCGUCAGCACAAUGAGCAAAUGCGAGUCUCAGAUCAACGGAAGAAUACAUAAAAAGGAAAACUCACAAAACCUCACUAUGGUAAAACCCAAGGUGGGAGAACAACUCAUAGACUAAGGAGAAAAGUGAGAAGUUGCAUUAAGUCAAAACUAUACAUCUUUUGGACACAAGUAGAAGAGCUCACAAGGGUAUAACCAGCACAAGAUGGGUGUCUCGUUAAAACCUAGUUAGGUAGCAAAAACCUAAUGGGAAAAAUGCUCCUAAUCUUAGGGAAAAAGAGUACAUUAAGAUCAAGUGAGUAUAUGAUAGGAGCAUAUUUAUGCGCCUUAGUUAGCUAGUUCUUAUGCAUUUUCAUUAUGUUUUCUUAGUUUUAAGUAAUCUUUUAAGCUAGUUUCAUGUGUUUUCAGGUUUUAAGGGCAUAUUACAUAAAAUGAUGCAAUUUGGAGCUUUUAGGAGCAAAAGUAAGCUUGGAUUGAAUAGCACAUGCUUGGAACAAAAGGUUGGGACGAAAUUGAAGUUUUGAGGAUUCCUAGUCCAAGAAGGAUUCCUAGACCAAGGAGGAGUCCUAAUUGAAGAAGGAUUCCUAAUCAACGAGGGAUUCCUAGUUAAGGAUGGAUUCCUAGAAGAAUGAAGAUUCCUACUCAAACAAGGUUUCCUACUUGAAGUAGGAAAGUUAAGCCUAAAAGUUUCUACUUUGGGUUGAUCUUUCCUAAACCUAGAUGGCCUUGAGUUUCAGCAGCAUUUGAAGGUUCCUAAGUGUUGGAAGACACAAAGAAAGGUUUUAGAACAUUUUCUCAUCUUUGCCGUGCGUUAGGCCUUAUUUUCUCUUGGUUUUGGGCUUUCUAGAAGCCCUAUCCUUAUUCCUUAAUCCAUGCCGCACCUAUACCUGAUCUAGAACCUUUUGCCUUGCCUUGCAAGGUAUUCUAGAAGGCCAAUCAUUUUCCCAUUAAACCUGCCGCACCUUUUUAACCUUUUUCCCUAUUGGAUUUUGAUUUUCUAAGCCUUUUUCCUUGUGGACUUGGGUUAUUCAAGUCCAUAUCUGAUUUCCCUAGGGUUUUAAGUGCCUAUAUAUAUUCAUAAACCCCCUUUGGCCGAAUUACCACCUCUGACAAUCAUUCUACACGACAGAAAGUCAUUCACCCUCUCUGCCGCAGCCCUCUACCACCAUCUUCCAUAUUUUCUGACCCAAAAUCAUCCUUGCCGCACCAUUCAUCCACCCUAAACACUACCACCAUCUCCUACCCAUUCAUCCAUACAAAUAACCCCUAGAACCUGACUUUAGACCAAGUGCCGCAUCAAGGAGGAAGGAAGACUCGUGGAUGCACCUGCUGUCCAAGUUGGAUCAUCUAGGUGUUUUCUUUCUUUGGAUUUUAAUGUCUAAAUUUAUGUAUCUUUGCUUUGCGAGUGUGAGGAACUAAACCCCCCUUGGCUAAGGGGGGAUUCGAAACCAUGUUUAUGCUUGCUAUAUGAUUUGAUUACUUCUAAUUGCGUUUCAUAAGUUGUGAAUUCAAUUUACUUAUCUACAUGAAUUAAAAUUGAUUUGUAUAUGUUGGUUGAGAGUGCACGCUUAAUUUUCAUACACAAGUUUGAUGCUAGGAUAUAAGGGAGUUUCACCUAAUCGUUAUGAACUUAUAUUCACAAGUAGUAAAGGUUGUUGAUCACAAUCGUGUUAAGUAAAUUCUUGGCAUAAGUUUCAUGCAAUUCAUAGUAACAAGUGUCUUGCCAAUGCUUAUGAUUUUCAUAGAACUUAAUGAUUCUUGCUUGUAUCUCUAUUAUGCAAUUCAUGUAGGGAACUUGUGGGGAAUGCUUUGGGUUGUCAUAUGCAAUUCAUCCAAUUCAAUAACUUAAGGGAAAUCUGAGGGUUAAUUAGUGCAAUUCACGGUUAAUCUGGGGUGUUGGGAAUUCAUGGUUUAUCGAAAAGCAAUUGGAAAUCGUUUUGUAUGCAAGUGUGAUAUGUGUGGAGGAGAACCCCUUAGCUAGCUUCCAUCCAUUCAUUUAAAUCAAAUUCGUUUUAAAAUAUGUUUUAGUUUACAAAGUUUUUGUUUUGUUUUCAAUUUCGUCAAAAUUAAAUUCCCUUUUAUUUUGAAGUGUUAGAUUAGUUAGAAAUCAAUUUAGUUUGUGUUUUUAAGUGUCUUGAGUCAAAUUAUAACCUAUUUUCGUCCAAUUUUGUGAGUGGUCUUCAAAACUGCCCAGAUUGUGUUUUUAAGGCAGUUUUGAGUGUUUAUGUGCUGUUUUAAGUCUUUUGGUUUGUUUUAGUGUUUUAAAGUUUAGUUUUGCAUUCUUUGAGUCUAGUUUAGUGUUUUAAACUUUAUUUUUACGUUUUAAGUCAGUUUUCCAGUGAUUUGGCAAUCCCUCCUAAUCCCUGGUCUAGAAUGAUCCCUACUUACAUACUUUGCUACAAUUGAUAAAAAGAGGGUUUAAUUUGUGUGCUUAUAUAUUUCGCAUCAGUAUACUUCUGGAUACUCCCCCUGAGUUUGACAUAACUUCCAAAUGAGAACUACAAGCAUUGAAUAUGAAUAGUUAGGCAUACCAAUUCCUCGAACAAGCUUCUGGAAGAUUGACUUCGGCAGUGACGUCGUGUAGAGGUCGACAAGGUUGUCUGGGAUCGGCUUGCAUGACUUCAAUCUCAUGAUACUUUGCUGAUGUAGAUGUAGACGCAAUAUGUCUUGGCAUUGACUUCGUUGAUGUAUCGUGUCUUGGUCGAGUGGAUACAUGCAUAAUAGUCUUCAUGGAUCAUCGUUGGGACUCAACGAUGGAUGAAAACAACAAGUACUUUGAAUAUGCUCAACAAAAACUCAUAACCAUGUCUCAUUUGUAGCGCAGUGAAGUGAGGUGAGUCAUGGAACGAUUCGAAGAUUUCACAACUAAGGUCAUAUCGUGGACCUCCAAGAUAUUGUAAUAUCCCUAACAGUAAAGAUAUAACCAUUUGAGGAUUUUGCCUUAUGCGGGUUUGAUAAGUACCCUGCAUCAGUAUAACAAACAAGGCAAGAAUCAUUCUGAGGAUCAGGGGGGUCAGAUCCGCUCAAGAUGCAUUGGGAUUUUCCCUUGUAAAACCUUCAGGGUACGUCUUUAGCACCAAUUCAGUGGUUGGGUGUAUGCGAGGUGCUGCAUCUCAACAACGAAGGAGAUGUCCUGUCAAAUACAAUGAGCUAAAUACAACGAAGUGCAAAGUUGAAUUUAGAUAUGGAAUUUCAAAUUACAUAACCUCUUCAAGGGUCUCAUUUGCAUAUAACGUAUGGAUGAUCAUAAGUAUACUUGAAGGUAACACAUUCGGGGUGUAGUUCGACUGGAAGACCAAGGUACCGCCAGAACAACGAUUGAACUUCAGGUCAAGGCAUAAACGAGUUUUCCUAAUAUCCUUCAUCUCAAAUUCCAUCUUCAGUUGCGAUGCAGUUUUCUCAAGCUCUUCUAAAGUCUAAGUGAGAUUCGUGUCAACGACAUAAACUAUAACUCUAUCAAUUCGGAAUUAGACUUCAUAGUUUAACACGCAAGGGCAUAAUUCAUAUCCUUGACUGAUCAAAUAAUCACUUAGGCAAGUAUACCAUAUCCGUCGGAUUGUAAGCGAACGCCUCAAACAAGUUAAGAACGUGUUCAGUGGUUUGUAACUAUUUGAACCAGUAUAUGUAAUUCUUCGGGAACUUACAUAUAAAUCUACGUAUCAAUAUCCCCAUGGAGAAAACACUAACCACAUUUCAUAAUAUUGCUAUCAAUCACAGGACGUUUGAGAGAAACCUUAAGCCAUAAGGCGUGCAUCAUAUCGCACUAUUUCGUUCAUCUCAUAACGCUUCAUUUCCCACUAGUAACAUGACAGGGUUACCUUGGGCAAUCUAGGAAUGAUGGGUCCAAAACACACUUGGUAAAGAAUUUGACCUGGAUUGUAAUUUCGAUUGUCCAAUCAGUUCUACGUUGUCACUUAAUCAACAGAACACGGUUCGAUAUCGUCGCUUUUCAUUUAUGUCGGUAACUACCAUAUAAGUGAAAAAUCAUCGAUGGUAAUCUCAUUUCAAUUCCAUUUUGCUCAUCCAAACUAGUAUACUAAACCAAGAACUUCAAGUAUCAGGAGUAAUCUGGAUUAAUCUCAUGAGAUGGAAAUGAUUUAAGACAUCGAUCAAGUAUAGAUUCAUUGUUGUGUCAUUUCUUCCUCUUCUGGCCAUAUUUAUACGAAGUGAUACAAAGAAAUUUAGAAUCAUUAUCUUCAGUGGUUUCAAUAUGAUAUUGAUUAUCUCGAAUAUCUCUAAAAUUCAGCAACGUUCUUCCGGAACAUGGAGAAUAGAGUGUCUCCUUAAUGGUUAAGAUAAUACCAUUGGACAACAUGAUACGGGCAUUUCCGUAUCCUUCAAUCAGGUUGGAUGGGCUUGAGAGAGUUGUCAAAUGAGCUUUAUUGGGUAUUAAGUUAGUAAAAUAGUGUCGUUCACACAAGAUGGUGUGCGUGGUUGCACUAUCUGCCAGACAACUAACUUCCUCACUAGACAUACCUAGAAAUAAAUUGAUUGAAUUGGUCACAUGCAUAAAUAUAAUUCCAUUCAUUCAAUUAAGCAAUUCAAGAAAUAAUAUCUAUCACAUAACAAUCCAUAAUUCAAAACAAACUAAAUCCAAACAAAUUAUUCCAAAUACUUAGAAAAAUUAUUCAAAAUUAAACCAUAAACCUCAAAAAUAUGGGGGAAGGGUCGGCCACUCCCAGUGGGUUCAGCCACUAGGGGUAAACACCCUAAAAACAUGUCUAAUUUAUUCGUCCAUAGGAGCUUACGCCUCUUGAAAAUUCGAUAUCUUCAUUGAUGUAGUAGCAUCUUCCAGAUGUUCCACAUGUGCAAAGUUAGACUCACGACGGGAAUGAUACUUAACAAUAUCCGCAGGGGAAGCUCGGCAUAUGCGUGACCAAUGAUCCUUUGAUCCACAUUGGUAGAAGCAGGCUAAACAGAAGCUUUGCCUUUGUUCUUGAAGUUUGGGGCCUUAUAGGCGAGUGGUGGACGAUGUUGGGUCACACUUCCUCCCUUAGGUGCGGCACUUUGUUGACCUUGGGCCCGUGGUUAAGCUUGCCGUCCAUUGCCAAGGCCACGAUGGUUGUUUCGUUGUUUAUGGCUGCUAGAAUUGGUUGCAUGCACUUCAGGCGCGGCGUUUGAGCCAGUGGGUCGAGCUUGAUGAUUCUUCAUUAAAAGCUGGUUCUGCUUUUCAGUGAUAAGUACAACAGAGAUCAAAUCUAAAAACUUGGUGAAUUUAUGUGUUCUAUAUUGUUGCUGCAAGACAAUAUUGAUGGCAUGGAAGGUCGAAUAAGUAUUCUCCAGGAUAUCUGAUUCAAUUAGUUCCACUUUACAAAAUUUCAGCAGUGAACGGAUUCUACAAACUUCAAAGUUCCAUUCAUUUACGGACUUAAAGUCCUGGAAGCGAAUAUGCUGCCAAUCGUGUCUUGCUUCAGGCAAGUAUACGUCUUUCUGGUGAUCGAAACGGUCGGCCAAAGCAAGCCAGAGAGUGUGUGGGUCCUCUUCAGCGAGGUACUCGGUUUGCAGUGCAUCAUAGAUGUAUCUUCAAAUAAAGAUCAUUGCAUUAGCCUUCUGAGCUUCGUCGACAGGUUUUUCGUCGGCGGAUGCCUCGAUUGUGGCUCUAAUACCCUUUGCAGUCAGAUUAAGCUUCACAUCUUGAACCCACUUCAGAUAGUUUCUUCUGAAAACUUCUAGAGUGGUAAAAUCGAGCUUGUUCAAGUUUGACAUGUCCCUAAAACGGAGGAUACAAAAAAAAAAAAAAACGUGAUUAGUCAUAUGGUUAUCCAUAGACAUAUAUCGUAGAACAUACAGGUUCUAUAGACAUUUAUUGGCUUAAUUUAUGCAUGAAAACUACAGGUUUCAUGUAGGGCUGGGCAAACGGGUACAGGAACCACGGGUCGGGGUGGGUAAUGACGGUUCGAGGAGGGUACAGGCCGGUUCUUACUUUUAAAAAAGAGAAACGGGGUGGGCUGGGGCGGGCCUUUGUGAUUUUUGGUUCGGGCCGGUUCCUGAAGUAUAGGAACCAUGGGUACCCAGAUCGGCCCGUUUGUAAUUAAAAUGAAUGGACUAGAUUGAUGAAUAAGCUACAUAUCUAAUCUGAACCGUUGUUUUAGUGUUACCCUAAGUUCUCUAUCUCUCAUCCCGAUUCCCGACUCUCACUCUCACUCUCUCAAACUCUCAGACCUCAGUCCCUCGACAGUUCCCUUCCCUCAACUCCAAUCCCCUCACCAACCGUUGAUUCUCCUCGGCGAAUACAACGGCACCACCCAUCAUCCUCCACGAAAACAUAUAUCAGAGUCCAUCUCUCUGACUCUCUAUGACCUGUCUCUCCGACUCUCUCAAACCUCGCACAGUCGCACUCAAUCCCCGAAUCUCCUAUCAUCUCUUGUUUCAGGCCUCAAUAAGGCGUCAUCUCCAUCCAUCCCCCCACUUUCUCUUUCUCCCUCCCACCCCUACUGGACUUGACUCCUUGAGACUGUGUCGACAUCAAUCGGGGAAGAACACCACAACCACACCAUCGCGAGUUCUGGCCACCACCACACCAUCCUCGCCAUUAAGAACACCAUCUUCAUCAUGCAAAUCCCUGGGUAAUUUAUGAAUUAGGGUUUCUGAUUUAGGAAUUUAGGGUUUUUGCAUAAGUUUUUCAAUUGAUUUAGGAAUUAUGUGGGUUUCUGAUUUGGGAAUUUAGGUUUUUUGGGGCUGUGAAUGCAUAAGUUUUUCGAUUCAUUAUAUGGACUGCUGUGAUUUGAUUACUUGCUGAAACGUUUCGAUUGGUUUUGAAUUUUAUGGAUCUGCUGUUAGAUUGUAGAUUUUAAGUUGUUGGUAUUUAAAUUUGUUACAAUUUUUUGAAGAUAUUUAUUUUUGAACUAAAAUUGGUAAUUGAGUUGCAAUCUUGAUGUUUGUAAGUCAAAGAUAAGUUUGUAGAUUGAAUUUGUAUAUGAUAUUCUUCAGAGAUGAAUUUACAUUCAAAGCUUUAUAUAAGAUGUAUCUUCAACCAUCCUUGGAAGAGAAAAGGCUGUUGUGGUUAAUCUAGAGUAGAUUCGAUGUAUUAUUACGGCCGAUGGGGUUCUGCUAUUGUGGUUAAUCUGUCGCAUUUUGUUUAGCUCAAGUACCACAGAUGCUUGAAAUGGCAUUAAGACAUGGUGCAAAAUUGGCUAUAGAACUUCAUUCAUUUACUGGUACAUUUAAUUUUGCCUUUCUUUUACGAUUAUAUUUAUGUUUGGUUAAUGAAAUCUAGUGUUGUCCGUUGAAUGCAAAAAUGUCAUUUGUUUUAGUGGGAGACUAGGCUAUGUCGAAUCAUACUUCUUCUAGCCUUUUAUUUUACAAUGAUAGGAUUAAGAGUCUGUGUACCCUCUUGUCAAGGUGCUAUUGUAAUACCAAAUAUUGUUAUGAUGCCAAACAAUAGUAUGGUUGUACUCUUUCACUAGUUGAAGAGAUGAAGUUGCCGAGGAUUUAGAAAUUCAGUGAAUUUGUACAGUCCAUUACAUAAGGAUUUAUAUAGUUUUGAGUUCAGUGCCUUAUUGGUGACCGAUAAUGAUACUUGCCGAGUUCCCACAUUCGGUUUAUUAAUAUGUGUGUGUGUGUAUAAGAAUAUAUAAGAAUUAAUGUGCAGCGCAUCCUCAAUUUUAAAAAACAGUUCAUGUGUGUAGAAGCUUGUGAAACAGAUCUUGUAAUUUUCUAAAACAUGUCUCUGUUGCUGUGCAGUAUAUAAAUUACAAAAAAAAAAAAAAAAGAGUUGGACCCGUGGACCCGUCCCGAAUCAGCCCGUUUCAAAUGGGUCGGGUUAGGUCCGGUUCAUAAACUCAAAAUUCCUCUACCCGGCCCGUCCUGCCCCGUUACUGUUUAAAACGGGUAAGGUCCGGUUCCUCCAAAAUUGGGCCCGGCCCGUGCCCACCCCUAGUUUCAUGUGGUAUGUUUUGAAUGAAAACUUCAGGUUUCAAAUGCACUAAAUUUGAAACUACAGGUUCAAUUUAGCUUUAUGAACGAUUAGUUCAUAAUGAGAUGUUCCUGCAAGAAACACAAAAUGCAAUAUACUAAUUUAAGUGUAGUGGAUUUAAGAUUCUUCUGGAACUCAAGUGUGAUAGCUUCGUUAUUACGAAAGUAUGUCAAUGGUUCAAAGUAUAAAAAUAAAUUAUUGAAUCAUUAAUGUCCAAAAGUGGUCUUCAGGUCAAUAAUUUUGAAUUCAUUAUCAGAUUAGCGGAUUGCAUGUCACUUUUAAUUAAUUCAAUAGAUCGGGAUCAAAUAAGGUCGAUCGUAGAAGCAAAAAUAAUAAUAACAUUCGGGUUAAAAAUAUUUAAAAUGUUAAAUAAUAGCAUUAGGUCGAAAAAAUAUAUCCCCAAAAAAAUCUUGGGCUCGGGUGGCUGCAAUAACAACCCAUGGGCCGAAUGGGUUUUUGGGGGGGGGGGUCCAACAACUAAGGCUGUUGGUUUUUGGCCUAGGUGGUGCACGUGGACAAGCCCAGCCGAAGCUGGCUUGUGGGCUAGCACACAGAAGGCCAAGCCAGAGCUUGGGCCUUGUCUUUGGGUCGGGGAAGAGAGCCAGCCAACUGGGCUGGUUGAAUGGCUGCGAGCCGGGGCAACAACAAGGGCCAUAACAGCUUGGUAGGUGCGAGGCUUCAGGCCCUGUCGAGAUUAACCCCAGGCCGAGGCCUAGUUGCUGCGAUGGUCAACUGGACUUUAGGCCAGUGACUUUGCCAACGGUGGUGGUGCCGCACCAUGUCCAAUUUUCUUUUUUUUCUUUGAAAAUAUAUGAAUAUACUUUGACUCACAUAUUCCACAUAGCAAAUAUAAUUGCGUAAUGCAUGAAACAAAUAUAUAUAUAUAUUGACAAAUAUAUAAACAUAUACAAUAUAUAUAUAUAUGUAUAUAUAUAUAUAUAUAUAUAUAUCGUAAGGAAAAUAUAAACAUAUAGGGGUUCAUGCAUCAUGGGAAAUGUUUUCAUGCUUCGUGGACGUUUCAGACAUCUUAUUUUAUUUUAAGUGUACCUGAUUAGCAGAAAAUAAAUAUAAGCCUUUGAAUUUUGUAAAAGAUAGCCUCUUCCUACGAUCUGUCAAUUCCUCAGCUUCUGGCAAGAGCGUGCUAAUAAUGUGUUGUAGGUCUAUUUGAUUGAACGAUCUAAUGGUUUAGAGAGAGGCGGCCCGCGACAAUUAGAGAGAGGAAAGAGUGAUUUAAUUGCGAGGUGUGUUUGUAUCAUCUCAUUGUGCUUUUAUUUAUACUAGUAAGAUAGGCAAAAACCUUACAUUUUUAGGAUUACAACUAUUAAUAGGUAAUCAACUCCUAAUAGGAAUAUAAGAUACAUUCUCAUAUCUACUAGGAUUUACAUAAUCACAUUCCUAUUCUAAAUGACUGUAACAUAUAUAAGUGAUAUAUAUAUAAGUGAUAUAUAUAUAUAUAUAUAUAUAUUGUACAGUGUAGUACUGUUAAAUUUCAUAAAAAAAAUGCAAUACUGUUAAGUUUCAUAAACAGUGUAGAACCGUUAAGUUUCAUAAAUAGUAUAAUAAGUUUUAUAAACAGUAUAGUAUCGUUAAGUUUCAUAAACAGCGUAGUACCGUUAAGUUUCAUAAACGGUGUAAUACCGUUAAGAUUCAUAAACAGUGUAGUAAGUUUCAUAAAUAGUAUAGUACUGUUAAGUUUCAUAAACAGUGUAGUACUGUUAAGUUUUAUAAACAGUGUAGUAAGUUUUAUAAACAAUAUGGGUGAGGAAGCACAGGUCUCGAACGUUAGUUUUUUUUUUUUUUUAAUAUUAAAAUUAUGACUUUUUUUUUUAAAAAAAAAUAAUUAAUUUUUUCAUUUUUACUAAAGUUUAAGAGUUUUUCAUUAUAUAAAGUUAUAGCAUGGUUUUUAAAAUAAAUUUAGUCCAAACAUUUUUCUUAAAAGAGGACAAAAAGCCAAAAAUUGAAGGAAAGAAAAGGCCUUGCCAGCUGUAUGUAAGACUUUUCGUGUCGAAAGGAUUUACGGAAGGCCUAUGACGAUAUCAUUUUAGUCCAUUUUUAGGAUAAUGCGUAGAAAACUAAAUUUAUGGACAAAAUUUCAACACUUGAGAGAGGACAAAAAGCCAAAAACUGAAGGAAAGAAAAGGUUUUGCCAGCUGUCUGUAAGACUUUUCCCUGUCGAAAGGAUUUAUGGAAGGCCUACCACGAUAUCAUCUUAGUCCCCUUUUCGGGCAAUGCUUAGAAAACUAAAUUUGUAAAUAAAAUUUACAAAUUAAAUGAUGUGUCAUCAAUAAAAAUGAGCACGUUUAUUAACGUUUAAAUCAUAAUUCAAUCAUUAACUCUACGUCAUUUUUUUUAUCAAACAAUAGAUUUUGUUAGAUUAAAUGUAAGAUUAGUCACUGACGGGGUUUAAACCCACACCAUCAUGCAAUGGCUCAACACCUUUUACUACUGUGGUAAAUGGCAACUUGCCAACUUCUAUGUAUUUUAGUUUACAAAAUUUUGCACACAAAUUUAGUCUUCUUAGCAUUACCCCUUUUUAAAGUGUAGUAAGAUUCUCUUCCCUUUUAAUCUCCCUCUCAUUUCAUCUCCUUCUAUUUAAACGGUUACAAUUAAGUCACGUGAAUAUCUUAUUUUGAACUUUUUAUAUAACGAAAAUUAAUGAAAAUAGCUUGAAAAUUUUGAGUUUUAACAAUAACGACAAAAUAAAGGGUAAAGUAAAUAGUACUAUAAUUGACUUUUUAGUGUAAAAAUGUGAUUUUUCGUUAAAAUGAACAGUAUCGAGAGCUUUUAGUUAAAGUCUCUUUUUAUAUAAAGAAAAGGAUAAAAAAAAAAGAGUGAAAAGGGGAGGGAAGAGGAUAGUAUUAAGAGAGGAAAAUCUUACCCCCAACAGUUUUAGUUCAGGUUCCACCAUGAAUUAACUACGGAAAAUGAAACAAACUCUACACUGUGCAUGGUAUUCGUCAUCGAUCGAUGGAAGAUUUGAAUCAAAGAGCAAAACAAAAGGUCUAGAUUUCUCGUCUGCAACCCUAUCAGAAAUAAAACAAAAAUAUCCAAGCACGGAUUGUUGAAGUGUAUGUUAGAGUUUUGAGACUCUUCCUAUAGGGAAAACAAGAUUCCCAAUGACCUUUAUAUAUGUUUUGUCUUCUACAAUAUUAGUUAGAUGUUGGACCAUUUGGAAUGAGGAUUGAGGCUUAGGCCACUAGUUGUGUGGAUUAGGCUUGAUGAUUAUACCAUAAUAUUAAUAUUAAUUAAUAUUAAUUAAUCAAGACAAUGACCUUGGGCCACUUGGGGCCUAAGAAUUAAAAUUAAUCUGAUCAAUUAGUUUUAAUUUUUUAAUUAAGUUUUUAAUUAAAAUUAAUUAAAAACGUUUUGAUUAAUAGAUACAACUCUUUCAGAUACAUCCAAAAGGUAUUUGAAGAGGUAUGAAAAAGCCUAUAUAACUGGAGUCCUCAGUUCCAUUAGUGAAAGAGCCUAUAAAAUUAAUUAAAAACGUUUUGAUCACUUUCUAUGAUUACCACAUCAAUUGAUGAUCGAUUCUGCUAAUUCAUUUCAAUAUCUAUAUGUUUAAUUCAUGCAUCUGAACUAUAUUACAUUGUUUACGUGAACAAGUUAGAGAUUAAGAGAAUUAUAGUUAUUUGUAAUUUGAUAAAUUAACCACUAACUCUGUUUUUUCUUCGGUUAAUUGUCCCUUGUUUUAAAUCCCUUAGCUUUCCUUGAAAAAUUGUUGAAUUGGCAAAAAGGGAUUCAUCCGGAACCUGUAAAAAACUUCGUCGAACCAAAAGAUGUUGAAGAAGUUGAAGUUAUCAGAUGUAUUGACUCAAAUAGUUGCAUGGAAGCGGAGGUCGCUGCAGUAGUAAACGAUAAUAUUAGAGGUACAUUUUCAUUUUUUACUACUGUGUACUUCUGCAUCAUCUUCUCAUUUCUUAUUAAACUUUCGACGCGGUAAUAUUAUUAUUUUUCUAAAUCAGCUUCGCAUGAAUUAGUAUAUGAAGUUGUUUCUUACUGUGAAAUCCUGUCCUCGGAUUUCACUGUUUAAAAUUACGUAUUUCGUAUUCGUAUUCUUAGUUUCAACGUUUUUAUAUUUACGGCGUAUUUGAUUCCUACGUAUUUUCCCAUUGAUCUUUAUAUAUUUGGAUAAUACUCGUCGAUACGAACGCGUUGGCGCAAAUGGAAGGUGAUUCAGAAUUAUAACGUAGAUUUUAUGCACUUUUGAACGUCGAGGGUAUUUUGGUAAAUUGACAAUUGAACACGUGUGAAAUUUGUUGAGUGCCACGUGGGGCCACCCCCACUUUUAUGGAACUCUCUCUCCUUCCUAUUUUUUCUUUUCCUGUAGCUUCUCUCUCUCUCUCAAAAACUCUCUCUAACUCCCCACCUCUCUCUCUCGGCUCUCCGUCUCCUCGUGAAACAAAAUCACCACCAUCUCCAAAACUUGAAUAACAAACAUUGUAAUCAUACUCAUCUCGACCCCAUGAACCCAGCUAUGAGUUUUAUUUUGUAAAAAUCUUGACAAAUAUCGAGUUCCAAAAGCACAGUUUUGAUCUGUGACUCUUCAGUUUCAGACAAUUUUCAGCCAUCUUUUGAACUCAAUACAGGUAUAAAUUGAUUCCUCUUGAUGUGUAGAUGAAUUUUCAUGUUUGGAUCGUGUGAUUUGGUUGAGAAAUGAGAGAAGUUAUAACGAUUUAAAAUUUGCCCAGUUUCCAGGGAACCCGUGAACUUCCAGACCAUUUUCCGGACAAACCACGACUAUUUAGCCGUUGGAAAGGUACCAGUCUGUUCGUCUAGUUCCAAGCUAUGAUUUUUGUUUUUAAAUCACUCGAUUUGGUUGAGUAUUGACAAAGAUAUGGACGUUUAAGUUUUGCCCAGUAAUUCCGCGAGUUACUAGUUUUCCCGCGGACGGUCGUAUUUCAGGCCAUUUUCAGGCCACCUCCGGCCACUAUUUGGACUCCAAACAAAUAUAAUAUUGUUCUACACUUCUCUAGCUUCAUUUUGGUAUAUUAUGGGUAGAAUUUGGGUGAGAAACGAAUGAGAUAUGGAGUUCUAAAGAUUGCCCAGAAAAUCUGCAAAUCUGCAGAAUCCAGCGAAAUUCCGUUAAGGUCCAUCACUUGAACAUUAUAGCAAUCAGUGAUCCGACCAUUGGAUCAUCACUAAAAUUUGUUAUGUUAUAGUACGUGAUAUUUGAGGACCAUAGAAACUGACGGAUCUGGAAUUCGACGUACGGAUCUUCCGGAAUUGGAUUUGUAAGUUCGUAAAAUUAAAUGUUGACCGCCACUGAAAAUGGUGAUUGGCGGAGAUCCGACCGUCGGAUCGUGGUGAAAUUUUAGUAUGUUGUUCUAGAAGCGUAAUGUGGAUCUUUAGAAGUUGCGGAUCAGAAAUUCGAGUUGUGGAUCUUCCGGAUUGAAUUACUAGGAUUGUGGAACGUCCUUGGGGAUCUGUUUUAUGUAAGUUACGUGGUUUAUCACUUGGGUUCUGAGACAAGAUUUGGUAUUUGUUUUAGGCGACGAUUGGACGUGGAUGCUUGUCAUUCAUGCUAGGGAGUUAUAGCGCAGACUCCAGGUGAAUGACUUUAAUAUAUGUGAUAUUGGUGAUUACCCUAUUUUCGUAAUUGUUAUCCUGUGUGGAUAUGAUUUGGUUUUAUAAAUAUGUUUUCUAUUGAGUUGUUAUUUUUAAUACUUAGCCAUCGAUUAUUUAUGAAAUGAGAUUUGACAUGUAUAUUUGAAAUAUGGUAUGAUUUGUAUGAUUGGCAUGUUGUGAUGAUAUGUGAGGGCUAGUAGUGGACCAUUAAACCAUUGUGAUGGGGAUUUGUUGCUUCGAUAUUGUUUCAUUUUCCGCUUCGUUGAUUCGUUCUAAAUUAGUAUUUGUGCCUUGUUUCACUUCGUUGAGCUUUUGUAAAUUUAGUAACUUGUGCUUGUCUCGUUUCUUUGAGCCGUUAUACAUUAUGGUUGUUGGCCUUCCACUUGGUUUCGUUGAGAGAUCCGGAACUGGGUUUCCACUAGGGUUCCGUUGAGUGGUCAAGUUCCCUGCUCCGUCUGGAUUCCGUUGAGAGGUCCAAAAUCCCUCGUACUCCGCGAUUCCGUUGAGUGGUCCGGAAUCGUAUCCAGCUCGGAUUUCAUUGAGUGGUUAGAUAUGCAUUGUACUCCGCGAUUCCUUUGAGUGGUCCAGAAUCGUAUCCACUCAGAUUCCGUUGAGAGGUUUGGAAUCCCUUCUACUCUACGAUUCCGUUGAGUGGUCCGGAAUCGUAUCCUGGUUUGGAUUCCGUUGAGUGGUUCGGAAUCCCGUUUGGUGUUAUGGUUCCGUUAAGUGGUCCGGAACCCGAUUAAUUGCUUUGUUGAUUCUUCGGAUUGAGUUUGGAUUGAGAUAACUUCAUAGAUGUAGGCUUCGGCCGAACUAUGUCGCUCUAGCCCUACUUUUCAUUGCGUUGUAUGAGUUUAUGGUUGUGAGCUUUUGUGACCUGUUUCAGAUGAGCCAUUGGAUGUCUGGGUGACUCAUUUGGGAUUUUCAGUGACUUGAUGAUGAUUUCAUAAAAUAUGAUUUUAUAUUUGACAUUUAUAAACCGGAUCCAUGGUUGGUUUUUAUGAUUAUCACAUACGUCGAAUUAUUGUCACUCACACGAGCUUCGCAACUUAUCCGCGUUAUUGUUUUCCUGGUGCACCAUUGCCAUGGUGUACGAGCGAUUGUGCAGGUUUUAGUAGAUACGAGAAGCUUCGGGGUAGCAGACAGAGUUCAUGAAGCUUGGAGUGUUAGGUUACCCCUAUACUUUCCUUAAAAAGUUGUGAUUAUUGUUGUUUUAAGUUUAGUAUUUCAAUUUGUAUUUCCUGGCAUCCCCUACAGUUUACCGUCACGUGUCAAUUUCGGGCGUAUCUCGGGAUCGGGGCAUGACACGUACUAUCAUGUUUUAUGGUGUUUCAACACGAUUAGAACUCCCUAAUCACAUGGCUAAAGACACUCCAAGCGCUAAACCAAAGUCCCCGGGCAAGUCACCACCUCUAUCAAGGAGUUCAACGUUAAUGAAACCCACGGCAAGUCAGCUGGCCAAGCAAAAUCACUGCCGGAAAGUUCCCUCCAACCGGUUAUUAAGGAGGUGCUAAUUUUUUUGUCUCAGAUGUUUAUUUUUGGCUCUAAUUAUUGGUGUUUUCUCUAACUUGUGCCUUUUUCUGACUCUUGAUUACACAGAGUGGCGAAAAAGCUCGGGAAACUUGAUGAGAAAUCACAGAAUUCUCCUCCACCUACGAAACGACAGAAGUUGGAGGCUGGCUAUGUACGCAACGUGCACUUGAACAUUUUUUUCAUUUGAUAGUUUUUGCAUCUCUGAUCUGUUUGAUCUUUGCUGAAUCGGGUACUUAUUAUGAUCGAUAUGAGGUUGUUACACUCAAGUCAAAUAGCGUAUUUAAUCCACCCAGUUGCGAUUAACGAAGUUCAAUAGUUUAUGAACAUUUUGUUGGAAUUUAUUAGGUUUAUUUAGGAAACUAAUUAGAGAUUUGAUUUGAUUUUGUAGUAGGGUAUUUUUGGCAUAUACGCAUUAGGGUUUCUUUGGUUUAUUGCUCUAUAAAUAGAGCUUGUAAUUUAGUUAGAGAAUAAGUCAGUCACAAUGUAGUCUCUAGGGUUUUUGUAGCCGUCUCGGUAUUCUCAAUUUGUUCAAUAAAAUUCCUAUUAUUUUGUAGUCUUAUUUGUUCUGCACUCUGAUAUUCAACUCAUUUCAUAAGAAUUUCUGAAGGCUCUUUGUGUAUUUGUGAAGCAGGUUGCUGAACAGCUCGAGCAUCAACCUCUUUGGUUAAACAAGGUGCCGAAAAAGGUAACCUACAUUUUACGAAAACAAGGUUAUGUGCUUUUGAUCGUGAAAGAACAUUUUUGUUUCAUUCGGAAUAAGAGAAAAAUAGUUUUUCGUGGGGUCGUGCAGGUCAGAGCUGAUGCUGCCAGACCUGAAGUUAACGUUCCGAAGGAACCAAAUUUGGAAACAGAAAAUAGAGCACUAAGACGUAGGUUCAUACUCCUUUUAACGCUCGAAUUGAAAUUGUUCAUUACCCUUUUGAACACGUUCUAAUUUAUACGAUUUUGUGAUCUUUCGUUUCUUUGAUAUUUUGGUCUGCAGAUUCACAGGGCUCCUCCAUGGCCUAGCCCGAAAAAGAGCACAAUUCCAGCAACAGAGUUUCAGGUAAUUAUAGAACAUUGUACCGUAUUUCGUUGGACUGUCUUUGCAAAGGAUGUUGGAUAUAAGUCAACAAUCUGUGAUAAUUUAUAUAUGCUAAUAAAUAAUAAAUGCAAUAGAAACUAACAAAAUAUAAACUAGAAUAUGAAUUAUAAAACAGACAACUUGAAGAUCGAGACUUGCGUACCGCAAUGUCCUUGAAACAGAAAUUUCGUCCCUACUCUGUGCUUGUAGUUCUAUGGACGUCUGCUUCACCAGGAUUCAACGAUCAAGUUAAAAUUCCAACACCGGAAAAUUUAACUUCUGGCGAAUUUAGUGUGGUUCUCUCAGUAAGAAGAUUUAUGAAUGUAGAAGAUGAAGUUUAUUAUUUUUGUGUUCUAAAUGCUAUGCAGAAGUAUGUAUAUAUAGCAGAUAGAUGCCUGUUUGCAACAGGUAUGAGAAUGGGGUGUGACUGUUGGGAGACAUCUCUUCAGAAUGGUGCUUUGCUCUAUGUUCAGAAAGAACUCUCAGACUUCAUCUGAAAUGAUGAGUCUUUUCAUAAAAAAAAUAAUUAAUUAAUUAAAUUCGAAUUUAAUUAAAAAAUAAUUAAGUAAAUCCGAAAAAUAAUUAAUUAAAUAAUUUAAUUAUUAGAGCCCAAGGCCCAUCUUUUGACAAUUAAAUAUAUAUUAAUUAUAUAUUAAUUACCAAUUAAUUAUUACACCCCAAAGCCCAACGCCAGGGUGAGCCCAAUUUUAGUCUUCAGGUCUAUUACUCCAAUCACUUUCUUUAAAGGACAAAACCUUAUAAAGUGAUAAAAUCUUUUGGGAAUAGCCAAUGUGGGACAAAGAAAUUUCUACUCAAACUACUCAAAUUUCCAACAGAGAAACCUCGGCAACGCCCCUAGUUAGGCAGCGUGAUUCGGAUAAGACCAAAAUACAUAAUACUGCCACUCCUACUGAAGUUUUCUCUUAGCAAAAUGACUUGCCUUGCGGUAACAAAUGCACCACAUAACGUUCUUAAUUUGAUUGUCAUCGGAUGUUUCGCCUUCGGACGUCAGCGCGAGUUAUGCAACAGACAUACGAUCACCAUGCAACCCUCUGAAACUUGUCCGAUUAUUUGAAUUUGAACUUAUUAAUUUUUGUCAACUCUUACGACGAAAUAAUAGUCACUGCAGGUAACAAAUAGACCUAAUUCUAGUUAUUUAUCAGAAAAUGAAACUACAGACAAUAGAGAUCGAAGGGUAACUAUCUCUGCCUUUUAGCUUUUCAAAUGAAUCCCAUCUUUGUAAUUUAUGUAUAGUUUUACCUUGCACUCAUGGAAUUUUUCCAUCUUCAAAUUUGAUAUUUACUUUUAAGGUUAAUAAUUUCAAUAGUAAAAAAAAAGGCGAUCCUAAGCCAACAAGACUUUCCGCUUUACGAAGGUCGAGGGAAAGUUUAUCGUACGCAACCUUACCCUUACUUUGCAAAGAGGUUGUUUCCAUAACUCAAACAUGUGACAUUUCACUUACAAAUAAGUAAUAUUUCCGUUGCGUCGAGCUCGCCCUCAAUAAUUCCAAUAAUAAACCCUUGAAAAUCAAGAAUCAAAAUACAUUCGAUUCUCGUUCUAUGUAAGUAAACAUGUCACCGGAUGAGAAUUGUUGCAGUUAUCUAAAUGUUGGACAAGGAAUGUCUGCCCUCCUUGUUCCCGUGCCCUCCCAUGCCCUCUUGUUUGUGUGGUCACAGUUAAGCCACGUCAACAUUUUAUAUUACUAUUCAUUUUUGUCUUAUUAUCUCUAUAAAAAUAACAAUAUAAAAUGUUGACGUGGCUUAACCGUGACCACACAAAACAGGAGGGCAUGGGAGGGCACGGGAACAAGGAGGGCAGACAAUCCUCGUCCCUAAAUGUUUUGAUAUUACUGUUUUGUACAGGCCAAACUCUGUGUAUGCCUUAAAGCAGGAGAAAAGUGGAAUGGUUUAUAAAUGCGUAGCUUGCUCUCUUAAAAAUAAGGUAAUCUAAUUCUGCCUUUUUUUUAUUUUUUAUGUGCAUAAUCUUAAUGCGAUGCUUUAAAUUGUAAGCAGGAAUUAAAGUUUGCAAUCGACAAGAGAUGCCUAAAGGAACCACCAACAGAUUCAUUUAGUAAGGUAGGAGCAAUAUCUAAGUUCGCUAAUUUUACGUAAAAACUUACAUGCAAUUUGAACGUCAGGGUGAAAGUAUUUCAAACAAAUCAUUUGAUGUUAUGUGAGUAAAAGUACAACACAUAGUGACGCACGAUAAGCAUGGAAUAUCACCACCUGACAUCUGGUUUCAUGUAAGUUUCGCUUGUCGUUUUAAAUUUAUUUAAGUUUUCAACUUUUAACUCCUCAAUAUCUUUUAUUUUGACAUUUUCCAGGCUCUCCCUUGGAUCCGAAGAACAGCAUAAUACAAAACCUCAGUCAAAAAGUGCCUUUGCCUGCUAAGAUUAAUCAUUAAUCUCUCUUCGUAAACGUGAUACUGAAACGCCGAAGACACCAAGCUCCGAAUUUGUUAUAUUAAUACAAGAUUGAUUGCUUCCACUAAUUGAAAUAAGGCCACAAAAGUGAACAGACCAAAGCUCAUUUCCGCAAGAUCAUGAGGUAAAUUAUAAGUUUAUAUCAUUUAGUAUUUUGAGGGCGAUCUUUGGCGCAACAGAAAAGUUGCUUCAUACCGAAAAGUCGCAAGUUCGAGUCGUGAAAACAGUUUUUUGGUAAAACAAGAGUAAGACUGUAUAUGAUAGACGUUCUCCUCCCGACCCUCGCAAAGCAAAAAGUCUUGUUGGGUUAGGGUCAUUCUUUUUAUAUCAUCUAGUAUUUUCUUUGUGGCUUACUAAUUUUGUUGACGAUGUAAUCUAACUAAAAUUGAAUUCUUUUUUAUACAUAGGGCUCGUAGUCUCGUAGCAUCUAUAUGGUUACCAAACGAGCUUCAAGUCGAUGAAAAUGACAAAUGUCACGAAAGAAAAGUCGGUGGUUAAGUGGGAAGCAGAUAUAUCAUUGUUUGAGUAAAAGGAGUGGAUUCCUCGAUUAGAAAACAGCUGGUGGAAAUCUAGAUGUUAGCAUGAUUUUAAAGCUGGUUAAUUUAUAUUGUGGUGCUACAGUUCGAAAUGAACCUACAAGUCGACUUUUGUUUUGGAAUUAUGAAACGAGAAAAAGGAAAAACAAGAAAUUUAAAUACCUACAAAUCUCAAUGCACACAAUAGAGCCUGGAGGGCAUGAACAUGGGCUAUAUAAUUUAAUUGAAAAUGAUAUACAGUGCAAAAACUAAGGUACCAAUUUUCGAACUCUCGGUUUAGUUCUAGGUAUUUCAAACUGAAAAUUUUGUAUCAUUUAAUUGAAAAUGCUAAAUCCGUUACAUAAAUAAUCUUUUUUAUUAUGUUUGAUCCCUUGUUGCUCGAACUCCUCACAUCAGCUCCGUUAUAAGGAGUUGAGAUCUUCUUCAGAUCUCUGUGUCUAGAGCCGACAUAUCAGGAAUUUCAUACUCAUUUUAAAUCAUACGGCCCUCAUUAACUCAUUCUACUAGUCCACCUCACACAAGUCAAGGGUCUGCAUCUCUCUCUUCAACUGCCCAGAUCUACUAAUCUUUGAGUCAUGUGAGUUGCAAUGAAGAUUCAUAUAAAAUGGGAUGCUAGGAUGGCAUUUCAAAUCGAUCAUACAAUGCCAUAUGGACAUAAAGCACAUAAUGCAUAACAAGUUUAGAACAUCAUCCGUUUCAUGUAAGUAUCUCUCCUAUUCGAGCAAAGAUUUUGCCCAAUGGUAGCGUCUAUUUGAAGGAGAUCAAGUUUGGUCCCUCGUGUAUAACUUAGUUUGGGUACAAAAACCAAGAACAUAGAUCUGCCUGUUACCUUGGAAAACCCCACAACUAGCCUCUCAGAUAAAAACAUUAAUUUGAUGUUUUUUCAACUUCAGAAAUUAUAAAUUCUCUCGUGAACCCGUUUUCAGAAAGCAGAUGCCUUUUCAGACAUUCAUCCGGAAUCUUUGUGGAUACUUUCACUUUUCACUUUUCACUUUCACUUUCACUUUCACUACGGUAAAAAGUAAAACAUAACCAACCAACCAGAGAGGGAUCAUGACAUAAUACGACAAGUAGCAUUUCUUCAACAAAAUAUAUAAGUGGUUACAAAAACUAGUUCUUCUUACUUUUCAAUCCCUGCUUAUACGACGUCGUUCCAAAAGAUGUGUCAUAACACCUGGUGUUUACAUAUAUUUCGUCUACUGCUACUGGUACUAGCAGAUGGACCAAAACUGGGAUUUUCCUUCUCAGUCCCCCACUUCAUCCAAUCUUAUAUUGUAAUUUCAGCUGUUUUAAAAGCAGAGGGCUAAUUUGAAGCUUCAUUCAAAGCGUGUUCUUGCAUAUGACUUUGCCGAAGCAGAAGGCUAAUUUGAAAAUUGAUGUGUUGCUCUUUUUGCUUCUAAAACUUUAUGCUGAACUUCUAUAUUAUUGCAUUUACGAAUAAAUGUAGGAUGUUCAAUAUAACCAAGAUAAAAUUUCAGCUUCUUCAAAGUACUGGUAAUUAUUUUGGAUAUAUAUGUUAAUCUUCUCUUUAUGCUAUUUAUAGUGGUUGUAUAAUACCUAGUGGUUGUAACUAACAAGGUCUACAAGGACAAUAAUAGAUGUUGUUCAUACAAAAUAAACAAAUGUGAUAUCAGUUGUGUUAAUGACUUCCGUCCUCAAGACACUUUACUAUUAUAAUUAUACUAUUAAAAUGCUAAACUUGGCUCUGAUACCAAAUUUGCACAGCAAGGCCCGGUUAAAUAGUCGGAUGACCAUUAUAACAACUAGACAUAAAACCUUGCACAUGGAACUCCGACAUGUUUCAGCAUGACGGCCACUCACAGUACAAGUAUAAGGCCUUAAAGGCUAAACUCAGAGGUACGAAGAACUCAAAGGUACCCUGGUUAAUGUCCAGUUAUUUGUAUGGCAAGCAUUCAACUAUAACAGAGUACUCGAACAAAGUAUGAUCGUCAGUUUAGCAGGUUAAUAAUAUAACUACAAUAGUGUUUCCCUGUUUUGGACUAGAAGUCUAAUUAAACAAACACACUAAAGAAAGAAAAGAAAACUUACUUAAGACUUGAAGAUUGCUUGAAUAUGUACACUUGAACUUUUAUUGAUAUAUAGAAUGUUUACAAAGAUAGUUGUUUAUAAUAAAGUGUUUACAAGGAUGCUAUAAAGACUACGAAUGCUUGAGAGUAUGAAGAUGGUGUGAGUGAGUAGGGUGUUGAGAUGUUGAGGUAUUGAGAGGUUGUGAUGUGUGUCUCUGCUGUGUUGAGAUAUUGAGGUAGUGGUGUAUGGGAGGAAAAGCUCCCUUAUAUACAAAUCCUAAAAUAAAAUAACGUUCAAAUAUUUACAACUUUUUGGAUAGUGACAACACACUGUUUCUGAAAGCUGUCAACACUGUUUCUGAAAGCUAGCUCUUGUCUUUGCUUGAAUAUCAUGUGAUUUUGUUGUCUUGGUUGCUGCAAUGUUUGCCACAUUUUCUUUUGCAUGUGAAUCCAUGUUGUCUUGGUUGUUGCAAUGUUUACCACAUCAUUUGCUUUUGCAUGUGAAUCCUUGUUUUAUGAAAAUGUUAGUCUUCCUUUUCUUCUUUUGAAUGUAUUCCACAUGACCUUUACAAAAUACUGACCCUAUCUUAUAUGGAUCUUUGAAGGGCAGGAUCAACAUUUUUGCAAAAUUUUGUCCUAAUGAUUAAAAAGAAAAUUUUUUGGGGUUUUUGGUUAGUUUUCCAUUUAAAUUAUUCUAAUUUACGAAUAUAUAAAAUUAAAUUUGGUGGAAAUUUUUUUAUAAAUUUUUUUAUCUAAGUUGAAAUUUUUUAUUGUUAUCGGAAUACUAGUGGUACAUCACGUGUUUUUAUAUAAGUGGUGAAAAUUUUUACUCUUUAAGUUAUUAACUUUUUAACAUACAUAUUCCACCAUUUGUAUAAUGACACAUGGUGUACCACCCUGUGUUCCGGUCAUACUGAAAAAUCUCUCCUUGAUGACAACGACGAUAAUGAAAUGAUUAUUUAUCUCUUUUUUUUUCUUUUUUUUUAAUUUUAUUAUUUUUAGUCCGAAUUAAUUUCAGACUCUUUUUUCCUAAUGUCACAUCCCGGGCCGGGGCGGGCCACUUCCCGGGCCCGCUCUACCACCGCAGCACGAUAUUGUCCACUUUGGGCCCCGACCACGCCCUCACAGUUUUGUUUCUGGGAACUCACGAGCAACUUCCCAGUGGGUCACCCAUCAUGCGAGUGACCUCGUGCGCUACUCGCUUAACUUCGAAGUUCCUACGGAAUCCGAAGCCAGUGAGCUCCCAAAAGGCAUCGUGCUAGGUAGGGAUGAUAAUAUACAUUUAAGGAUCACUCCCCUGGGCGAUGUGGGAUGUUACAAUCCACCCCCUUUAGGGGCUCGACGUCCUCAUCGGCAUACUUCCGACCAGGGAUUGGCUCUAAUACCAUUUGUCCACAAGUAAAACAUCCAUUGUUGCCCCUCCUACACUCCCCAAAAUGUCAAUUAUUACACCUGCGACAUAAGGGAGCACCAGGUCCACCUGAACCACCAUAAUCUCUCUGCCUCUAGAGGCCCUAAGUUCCAGAGCCAAAGAAAUUAUGGUGGUUCAGAUGGACCUGGUGCUCCCUUAUGUCGCAGGUGUAAUAAUCGGCAUUUUGGGGAGUGUAGGAAGGGCAACAAUGGAUGUAGGCAAUUCCUCAGGGAAAACAUCUGGAAAAUAUAUGACCACACGAACAUCCUCCACACUACUAGGGGCAUCAUCAUUCAACACCACAUUCAAUCAAUACUCUAGCAAAAUGACCAUGAAUAUUUAACGUACCCAUGAUUAAAUCUGGAUUAUUAUGGGCAUCUUGCAGUGACAUGUUGUGGAUACGUGCCUGGUUCUGCCAGAUAAAGAGGUGGAGUUUGUUAUUAAUCUACUUCCAGGUAUGAAUCUCAUAUCCUUAACUCCUUAUAGAAUGGCUCAUGCUGAGUUAAGGGAAUUAAAAGUGCAGUUACAAGAGUUAGUGAGUUUGAAGUUUUGCCCAGUUUCCAGCGCCGGCGACGGUCUCCGGAGCUGGAGGUAGGAGGUGAAGGAAUAUUCCGUCAAGUAUGACGGAAUAUUCUCACGCCGUCAAUUAUGAUUGACGGUUACCGUUAGGAUUUAACGGAAUAUUCCUGACGCCGUUGAAGGAUCCGUCAGGAUCCCCUGCGCGUGGCGGCGCGUGCGGGGUCAAAAAAUUAUUUUGAAAAUUUGGCACUCCCAGGAUGGAUGACCCACUGGGAAGUUGCUCGUGAGUUCCCAAAAAUAAAACCGUGAGGGAAUGGUAAGCCCAAAGCGGACAAUAUCGUACUAUGGUGGUGGAACGGGCACGAGAUGUGGUGGACCCGGACCGGGAUGUGACACCUAACCUAUUCAACUUUCUAGCCGCAGUUAUUUAGGUAUUAUUAUUCACGUGUCAAUCGUAUUUUUUUCUCAUGUGGCACAUUGAUGACGACCACAUCAGCAAAAAGGUGAAACACACAUUUAUUAUGUCAUCACUUAACGGUUAAUUUGACAAAUUAAUUAAUGGAGGUAUGACAUUACAACGAAUUCGUAAGUUAAUGUAUGACAUUAUAAUGUUCAAAAGAUGAAACAUGAGUUUGUUAUAUGACCCAAAUUUGAGGUGGUAAAUGUAAUUUACCCUUUGUUUGUUUGUUUAUUUAUUUAUUUAUUUAUUUUGUUUUAUGUCAAGUUAACAGUGUUUAAUUUGGCGUUAGUUUGUAGGACACUUGUCAGCAAAGAAUGCCGGCAGAGGGUGAGCAAAGGAAACUUGGGGCACAGCGAAUCUGAGCUCGUUUGUUUAGUGUUACACUCUUAGUUGUUAACCUGACCUAUUGCUACUACAUCGCAAUUCCUAGCUCAGCUAUUACGAUUGCAUUGUUAACCAUCUCUCUAGCUCGAAUUCUCAUUUCUUGUCGUAGGGAUAAGAGCGAAUUAAUCCGCUCAUAUAUCAGCCAAAUCUAUAAUAUAAACCAGCACUGAUUAAUUACUGAAAUUGAAUCAGAAAUAUGAUUACUUGAUGGAUUACACAAUUAAAUUAAUUGAGAGCGGGCUUAGAACUAGUCAAUGGUUGUUAUCACGUCACUUUCAAAUUUCAAUCACCAUGUAUUAUACAACGGACAAGGAUUGUCUGCCCUCCCGUGCCCUUCUGUUUUGUGUGAUCACGGUUAAGCCAUGUCAACAUUUUAUAUUGUUUUUUUAUAGAGAUAAUAAGACAAAAAUGAAUAGUAAUAUAAAAUAUUGACGUGGCUUAACCGUGACCACACAAACAGAAGGGCAUGAGAAGUCACCAGAAGUGGGAGGGCAGACAAUCCUUGUUCUUAUACAACAUAUAUUAGCCAAAAGACAAAUGUUGACAUCUCCUUCCAAUCUAGAAAGUCGUCUGCAACCUAACCAAUUGUUUAUCAUAUAGAGCACAAAUCAUAGAUUUUCUGUACAUGUAAUACGCCUGCCAAAGAUACAAAAUGGCAGAAUCAGUUGUAUGCUUUGUGGCCAAAGAUAGAAAAUGGCAGAAUCACUCCAAGCAAUGAAAUUGCAUAUAUGAGUAAAAGAAGUUCGUGAAUAACGAGUGGGAAAAAAAAAACACAUUCGCCCGUUUAAGGGGGGCAAGGGCAAGGCAAUGAAAUCAUUUUUACUAUUUACUCUAAACAGUAAUUGCAUUAGUAUAAGUCCACCCAUUUAAGAGGAAGAAGGGUAAGAGCAAGGACGAUUACCAUGCUGAUCGCUUGCCCGCUGACCCAAGUUUAGGCUUAUUUUGCUCAGGCAUUUGGACGGACUUUGCAUGGCCCACAAUUGCCUUUGCAAAAUUGGACCACUAGACGUGAUUAAAUGGGUUGAAGGACACGUUUGAGUCAUUGCCCUUGCCUUCAACCAACUGGUGAACAUGCUCUUUAAGUCAAGAAAUUACUGUAAAAAGAGGUGGAAUAAUCCCCAUAACUAAUAUUGUGAUGUGGUGGAGUAUCUUUAUUUAUUUAUGUAAUCUUGGAAUUGUUACAAGCUGUACGUAAGAAUUUUUGAACUGAUAAUUUGAAAGGCUUCACGAAUCAUAGGCCUACCAACUACAAAAUGGUGGUUGUUUUGUUACUUUUUAAAAGGAGACUUGGGGAGGUGUGAAUGCAAAACCAGAGACAACCCGUUGACUUUGUUAAGGGCAAAGCAUGCAAUUUGCUAGUCAAUCCCAGUUGGUGGCAAUGGUUCGUUUGGAGUUUAGAUCUGUGGUGCACAAGUUUCCCCUGCUCACUCUCCGUCCGCAUACUUCUGCUGACAGUGUUAUAGGACACUUGUCAGCAGAGGAUGCAAGCACAGGAAACUUCAGCGCAGUGGAUCUGAACUCGUUAAUUUGGCUUUACUUGUUGACCUGACCUAUUGCUACAAUAUUGCAAUUCCCAGCUCAACUAUUACGAUCACAUUGCUAACCACCUUUCUAACUCGAAUUCUCAUUUCCGGCCGUAGGGAUAAGAGCUAAUUAAUUCGCUCAUAUAGCAGCCAAAUCCACGGUAUAAACCAGGUCUGAUUAAUUAAUGAAAUUGAAUCAGAACAAGUCUGCAAAGACUGCAAUAUGAUUAAUUGAUGGAUUACACAAUUAAAUUAAUUGAGAGCUGGCUUAGACGUAGUCAAUGGUUGUUAUCACAUCACUGUCAAAAUUUCAAUCAGCAUGUCUAAAGCUAAAAAGAAAGGUAUCUGAACAUUUCAAUUCAUCAAUUCUCCCAAUUUGCUUCAUUGUUGCUGCUUUUCUUGAUACCAAAGCCAUCUGUAUCACAGCAUUCAAUUUGCUCCUGCUUCUUGCUUCUUGUUGUUUUCAGAUUUCGUUUCUCUACCCUUGAUUCCCAAUUUCCUUUGUUUUUCUCAGAGCAACUGUUUGCUCACCCAAACCAAACAGCUAGCAUAUGGUUUGGGGUUGGUGGAUGCUCAUAUUAUAUGGCAGAACAAAUUGUAUGCUUUGUGAUCGACAAGUUGAUUCAACUACUCACCACCACAGAGGCAAACCUUUCAAGAGAAGUACGCAAAGAAGUUAGUUUCAUCAGAGGUGAGCUACAGACCAUCGGAUCAUUCCUCAAGGACGCAGAUGCUAAGGCGGCAGCAGAUGGAGAGAGGACGAAUGACUGUGUCAAAACUUGGGUCAAUCAAGUAAGAGAAGCAGCUUUUUGCAUUGAAGAUGUUAUUGAUGAAUAUUUGCUCCGUAUCACACGGCAUCGUCAACACCAUAGAUUCAUUCGUUUUUUCCAUAAAAUUAUCCGGUUGGUUAAAAAAAUGAACUUACCCGAUGGGAUAGUUUCAGAAGUUGACGAUAUAAAACGAUUGGUUCAUGACAUAAAGGAGAGAAGUGUAAGAUACGAAUUCAGUUCCACAGACCAGCAAGGUCAAGAUAAUGGCGAAAAGACUCUUCCGUGGCAUGACCCUCGAGUGGAUUCCCUUUUCAUUGAGGAAGCUGAAGUUGUGGGGAUUGAGUCUGACAGAGAAAAGCUAACUGAUUUGUUGGUAGGAGGAACGCCGAGACGUGAAGUGAUAUCAGUGGUUGGCAUGGGAGGACUUGGGAAAACCACUCUUGCCAAGAAAGUUUAUGACAAUCAGACGGAGAUGGCGCACUUUGAUUGCUACGCUUGGAUUACGGUGUCCCAGACAUACAGGGUGGAGGAUCUUCUAAGGACUGUAAUCAAAAUGUUUUAUAAUUCAAGGAAGGAGAAUUUCCCAGAGGAAAUUGAAACAAUGGAUGCGGAGUCCCUGAUCAGAAAAUCAAGAGAGUAUUUGCAGCAAAAGAGGUAUGUUGUUGUGUUUGAUGAUGUGUGGAAAAUAGAUUUUUGGGGGGCUAUAGAACAUGCUUUACCGGAUAAUAAAGGGGGACGAAUAAUGAUUACUACAAGGAUUCAAGAUGUUGCCGAUUUUUGCAAAAAAUCUUGUUUUGUUCAUGUCCAUCACUUGCAACCUCUGUCUCCAAACAAGGCAUGGGAAUUGUUUUGUAGAAAGGCAUUUCAGUUUGAAUUGGAGGGAAAUUGUCCUCCAGAGUUAAAAGAUAUGUCACAGGAAAUCGUUAGAAAGUGUGAAGGACUGCCUUUGGCAAUUGUUUGCAUAGGUGGUCUGCUGUCAACGAAAGUUAAAGUGGUGUCUGAAUGGCAGAAGUUAUACAAUAGCUUAAGUUCAGAGUUGGAAAGCAAUCCCCAUCUUACAAGCCUCACAAGAAUCAUAUCCCUCAGCUAUCACCACCUACCAUAUUACCUCAAAUCAUGCCUCUUGUACUUUGGCAUCUUUCCAGAGGACUACUCAAUUAAUUGCGUAAGAUUGAUUCGGUUGUGGAUUGCUGAAGGGUUUGUAAAAUUGAAGAAGGGCAAGACACUGGAAGAGGUUGGAGAG